rnacentral:rRNA from 1 species
GACGAACGCUGGCGGCGUGCUUAACACAUGCAAGUCGAGCGGAGCGGCGAACGGGUGAGUAACGCGUGAGUAACUGCCCCCCUCUCUGGGAUAACAGUUGGAAACGGCUGCUAAUACCGGAUAGUGGGGGAUGACUCGCGUCCUAUCAGCUUGUUGGUGGGGUAGUGGCCUACCAAGGAGACGACGGGUAGCCGGCCUGAGAGGGCGACCGGCCACAUUGGGCUGAGAUACAGCCCAAACUCCUACGGGCGGCAGCAGUGGAGAAUAUUGCACAAUGGGGGACGCCAGGAUGUAGCAACGCCGCGUGCGGAAUGUCGGCCUUCGGGUUGGAAACCGCUUUCAGCGAUGAAUCGGUAGUGGCAGAAGAAGCACCGGCUAACUACGUGCCAGCAGCCGCGGUAAUAC